rnacentral:rRNA from 1 species
UGCCAGCCGCCGCGGUAAUACGGAGGGUGCAAGCGUUAAUCGGAAUUACUGGGCGUAAAGCGCGCGUAGGCGGUUUUGUAAGUCGGAUGUGAAAGCCCAGGGCUCAACCCUGGAAUUGCAUUCGAUACUGCAUAACUAGAGUAUGGUAGAGGGAAGUGGAAUUUCCGGUGUAGCGGUGAAAUGCGUAGAUAUCUGGAGGAACAUCAGUGGCGAGGGCGGCUCCCUGGCCAAAGACUGACGCUCGUGUGCGAAAGUGUGGGUAGCGAACAGGAUUAGAUA